GCUGAGGUGUCGGAGUGGUUAACGAGUCAGACUUGAAUUACUCAAGCCCAUCUGAUGCCUUCGGGCGCGCAGGUUCGAAUCCUGUCCUCAGCG